rnacentral:tRNA from 1 species
GCUGGGCUAGCUCAGUCGGCUGAGCGUGAGACUCUUAAUCUCAGGGUCGCGGGUUCGGGCCCUGUGUUGUGUG